UACGUAGGUCCCGAGCGUUGUCCGGAUUUAUUGGGCGUAAAGCGAGCGCAGGUGGUUUAUUAAGUCUGGUGUAAAAGGCAGUGGCUCAACCAUUGUAUGCAUUGGAAACUGGUAGACUUGAGUGCAGGAGAGGAGAGUGGAAUUUCAUGUGUAGCGGUGAAAUGCGUAGAUAUAUGGAGGAACACCGGUGGCGAAAGCGGCUUUCUGGCCUGUAACUGACACUGAGGCUCGAAAGCGUGGGGAGCAAACAGG
rnacentral:rRNA from 1 species